UCUUUCUCUCUCUCUCUUUCUCUCUCUCACAUCCCUCGCCUCUGUCUAAAUCCUUAGGGUUCCUUAAUACCUCUGCUCUCUCACAACUCCACAGCAAAGAUUGGUUUCUCAUUUUAAGGAAAUGGGAUUCCAGGAUUGGUCAUGAGAUGGCCACAUAGGGACUAAAGCCAAGCAAAUCCUCAUCCUAUUGUUUUAGUCGAUAUGUAUGCACCAUCAAGUCUAUCCAUAUAAUGUCGUCACACCAGUCGAGACAUUUGGAGCCAUUAUUUCUUCUCCUCUGUUACUCCCUUCAACAUUUCCAUUAGAUGUUAAUUAUUUUAGAGUAAAAGCUUUGAUUUUUAUGAGUAUUAAUGUUCAAACUAGAAGUACGAUGUUGUUUUUUUAUGCAAAAAUGGGUGCUCCAGGGAAAUGGGUGCUUCAAGGAAAAUGGAUAAAAGCUUUAGUAGGUAUGAAGAAGCCAGAGAAAGAAAAAAAAAUGUAAGCUUAGCUAUAAAUCUUCACAAUUAAUCAAGCAUUUUUUGGGUUGUUUUUGGUUAUAUGGUUACACCAGUUUUCAAUAUUUGUUUCCCUAUGUGUCCGAGGUGUGCUGGUAAAAAGCAAGAAAUGGGGACUACGCAAAGAGUUCUUGUAACGAGAGUACAGGAGAUGAUGUGGGCAUUAAGGCUGAAAUUUAUCAUGGACAAACGAAAUAAUAUAGCUCGUGCUGAGUCCCAUAGGAAUAGAUAUGUCGGACAUUGGACAACCAUUACACUAUGGUCUCCCAAGAGUCUAGAAUGCUACUCCAACGAAAGUGGGCGUUGUGGGAGAGAUGUGGUUGAUUAGUCUUUGUGGACAUAUAAGUGAGUGGAGAGAAGGCACUUCAACUUGGAUUGCAAGUAAUAGCAAAGAUUAAGGGCAAUGCUGAUGCAGCUGAGGCACUUGAAUUCUUUACAACUGCUCCAGCCCUUGUGAUACCAAAAGCUAUUUCAAAUGCUGGUUUAGAUGCUUCUCAGAUUGAUUACUAUGAAAUAAAUGAAGCGUUUUUUGUUGUAGCUCUAGCCAAUCAAAAGUUGCUUGGUCUUAAUCCUGAAAGCCUUAACGUACAUGGUGGGGCUGUAUCAUUGGGACACCCAUUAGGAUGUAGUGGAGCUCGUAUCUUGGUCACAUUGUUAGGGGUAUAUUGAGAUGAUUUCUUUGGAGCAAUUCUUGACAACAUUUGUAGUUGAGACCUUUAGAAUGGAAGAAUGUAUUUCACUAAUUUUUGUAUACAUUUCUUGUUUUGUAUUUAGUGAUAAAGGAAUCUGAAUUGGGCAUAAAUUAUGUUGUAAUAUGAUUUCUUAAGCCUAGACUAGUAGACUAAAUAUUAUAAUUACAUUUGAGUAAUUAAUAAAAAUCUAUUUAUG